GGCCAGACUCCUACGGGAGGCAGCAGUGGGGAAUAUUGCACAAUGGGGGAAACCCUGAUGCAGCGACGCCGCGUGAGUGAAGAAGUAUUUCGGUAUGUAAAGCUCUAUCAGCAGGGAAGAAAUAGCGACCUUUGGGUCGCCAGACGGUACCUGACUAAGAAGCCCCGGCUAACUACGUGCCAGCAGCCGCGGUAAUACGUAGGGGGCAAGCGUUAUCCGGAUUUACUGGGUGUAAAGGGAGCGUAGACGGCAGCACAAGUCUGAAGUGAAAUGCUGGGGCUUAACCCCGGAACUGCUUUGGAAACUGUCCGGCUGGAGUGCAGGAGAGGUAAGCGGAAUUCCUAGUGUAGCGGUGAAAUGCGUAGAUAUUAGGAGGAACACCAGUGGCGAAGGCGGCUUACUGGACGGUAACUGACACUGAGGCACGAAAGCGUGGGGAGCAAACAGGAUUAGACACCCGGGUAGGG
rnacentral:rRNA from 1 species